GCUUCGUGCAGACGGCAGGGAGGGUUCCCACAGUCAGAAAGCUGGAGUCCGAAAUGAGCCAUUCAUCAUCCUCUCUACCUGUUGCCAUUUCUUUCUGGAGUCAGGCGGGCCAGGAUCAGCCCAGAGUCGGAGGUCUGGGAUCUUCUUGAAAAACCUUCCUACCGGGUCUGAGCAAGGCCUCCUGAGAGUUAGACAUCCUUAACCUCAAGUCAGGCUCCAACGUGACAACUUGUUGGGCAACAGACAAGACCAGGGAGAUCCUGGCAGGCAGGCCCAGUCCAAGAGAGUGGAAGCACCAAAGCACCCGAACUCACAAGGAAGCCAACUCAUCCGCCUUCACGGUCACAGGGGUGACCAUUACGUCCACAGAGGGCUCCAUCCAACGUGUCGGGACCAAUGCCAUCCGGACCGGAAGGACUCAGCAGGCCUGGGCCUGGAUUCAAGGGCUGGAGAGGUUGUGCCGAAGGCAGGGAUGACCUGCAUGGGACCAGCAGAGCCUCUGGGGCAGAAAGCAGAAAUAAAAGGCAAAAACAUUUAGGAAACCCAGAGGACAUGAUCACAUUUCUUAAAGAGAUUCCACGUGGCUUACAGCACACAUCCCAUCUUCCUUCAGGACCUGUGUCUGGACAGAGGAGUUCAAGUUACAGUCAGCUCCAACAUCAUGAUUCCAGGCUCAGAGUAACCCCAGAAUCGAGAUGUGGAUGCGUGCUAAGUCGCUCAGUCGUGUCCAACUCUUUGGGACCCUAUGGACUGUAGCCUGCCAGGCUCCUCUGUGGGAAUCUCCAGGCAAGAACACUGGAGUGGGUUGCCAUGCCCUCCUCCAGGGGAUCUGCCCGACCCAAGGAUCGAACCUGCGUCUCCUGUGUCUCCUGCAUUGGCAGGCAGGUUCUUUACCACUAGCGCCACCUGGGAUGCCCGUGUGAAGUAAAGGCAGGUCACAUCAGGAGCAUUCUGGGAGUUCAGGCUGACUCUCGCUGAGCCCUCCUGCUUGGCGGGCACUCACUCCUGCACGUGCCUUCACCCUCAGGAACAGUCCUCAGGGUAACAUGCCCAUUACCCCAGGGCUAUAGAGAAAAAACUCAAGCUGAAAGCCCAUCUCC
ensembl:lncRNA